GUCCACGCCGUAAACGGUGGGCGCUAGGUGUGGGUUUCCUUCCACGGGAUCCGUGCCGUAGCUAACGCAUUAAGCGCCCCGCCUGGGGAGUACGGCCGCAAGGCUAAAACUCAAAGGAAUUGACGGGGCCCGCACAAGCGGCGGAGCAUGUGGAUUAAUUCGAUGCAACGCGAAGAACCUUACCUGGGUUUGACAUACACUGGAAAGGCCUAGAGAUAGGUCCCCCCUUGUGGUCGGUGUACAGGUGGUGCAUGGCUGUCGU
rnacentral:rRNA from 1 species